UGCAUGAUCUAGUUGCUUAGCCUUGGGCGGACAAGAGAGGUGCUGUCCGUUCGGCGGUCCGUCCGGCGCGCCCGAACCGUGCCAAAUUGGUAGUGGAUUCGGGGCGGGGCGUGACACAUUAUAUAUAUAUAUAUAUAUAUAGCUAGGCUCCUAUGCUUUCGAAAGUACGGAGGCCUCCGUACUUGUAAGUUGUUUUCAAUGAUGGGACUUCCAAUUCGGCGAUCGGUUCCGUUAAAUAUGAUCUACGCUAUUGGAACUAUCUAGAAACCAAAUUUCAUAAUUUUUUGACUUUGUUUGCCUAGUGAACGAGUAGUUUCAAAAUGAACGGCUGAAAAUAAAAAUCUCAUUAAAAACAGUGAUAAAAGACUCAAAUUUCAAAUCGGAAGUAUUGUUCUUACUCUUAAUGCUAAGUAGAAUUUUCUAUUAAAAUUCAUGUAAUUUGGAAACUUCUACACCGUUGAAUUUAAAAACGUGCCACAUCGGCCGUUCAAAUAGUCAAUUUUGAGACCCUGUGAUCGCUUGAUAAAUGAUGUCGAAAAAUUAUAAAAUUUGAUUUCUAGAUAGUUACAAUAGCGUAGAUUAUGCCUAACGGAGCCGAUCGUCGAAUCGGAUGUCCUAUAAUCGAAAACAACUUAUAAGUACGGAGGCCUCCGUACUUUUGAAAGCACGGGAGA
rnacentral:lncRNA from 1 species